GCUUAAAAAGUUACAAACAGUCCCUUUAAAUGCAGGACUUUAAAAGUUUAAUUUUUUUUUUUUUUUUUUUACAGUGGAGUCAUGUAGACAUUAUGAGCAAAGUCACUAAUCAGUGAUGAAAAAGGAAAAGCCUGGAUCAUAGUCUUCAUCGUCUGGGGAACAUUAACCACAUUGUGUGCUAAUCGAUCCAAUAGUUCCUGAGAUAUUUCACUAAAAAACUAAAAUGUGAAUCUCAUGAUGGCGUUAGAGGAACAAUCACCAAAGUCAUUAGUGUUCAUUCUCUGGGGACCAUGAAUGUCUGUAGUGCGUCCCUGUUUGUACUUUCAGAUAUACAGUAUAUAUAUAAGCUCUAUUUUGCUUUCAGCUGUACAGGAGUUGUGUUAAGUUGCUGAUGAAUGUAUAAUUUUAUAUAUUUUAUCUGUUCUUGUUCUGUAUGCACCUUGUCCUUUUACUCUAAUGCAAUGAUCUAUGAGCCAUGUUGUUUGUCAAUUUUAAUUUGUUAAAUAAAAAAAUAAAAAAAAGUUGGUGAAGAUGACAAACCAAACAUGUCCUGAUUGUGCUCCUUCAUAAUAAAAGCUUUAAAAUUAACAAAAUAACGGGGGAGUUUUCUUGUGAAUAAUUUAUAGGAAAUUCAAGUUUUAUCUCCGACUUUACGAUGCUGUGUAAAAAAAAAACAAGUCUACUACUGCACAGGAGAGAAGUAAAAGCAGCGAAAAUAAAGGAGGACUUUUAUUGUGAAGAAUGUAGAAAGUGGAAUGUGCGUAUCACCGUUUUACAGCCGUUACCUUGACAACUACACACACCGUUUAGCGGGUAAACCCUUGAUUGUCAUCAGUAGAGCCACGCUGCGUCUAAAUAAACAACCAGGUGUUAAGUGUUGCAGAGGUCAGAGGACACCUGAGGACUGACCCGUUCCUGAGGCGGCCGGCGGACCCUGAAGAAGAAGACGACCAGCGAGGAUGUUGUCUUCAGAUUGAAAUCAUGUUAAAGGACCAGUGAACACCUGUGGACAACCUCACCUGGUCUGAGACGUUGUACCAGUCAUAGUCAAAGGAGUUGAUGGUCUCGAUGUUGGUGAGGGCGAGCACCACCAGGUUGUAGCAGGCCCGCGAUGCGUACAGCAACACCACCAUGAUGCCAAUCAGAGUCACCUGACACACCGACGUCCCCUGCACACACAGGUAGAUGUUGGCCAGCGACAUCUUGGCGACCUUGUAGAGGCAGACGGACAGCGAGACGGCGCAGAGGACGAACAGGCUGUCGUUGAUGGUGACCCUCACCAGGACGAUGGUCUUGACGUCAGCGGCGGUCAUUUUAACCAG